rnacentral:rRNA from 1 species
UACGUAGGGGGCAAGCGUUGUCCGGAUUUAUUGGGCGUAAAGAGCGUGUAGGCGGCCAGAAAAGUCCGUUGUGAAAACUAGAGGCUUAACCUCUAGACGUCGAUGGAAACUGUUUGGCUAGAGUCCGGAAGAGGAGAAUGGAAUUCCUGGUGUAGCGGUGAAAUGCGCAGAUAUCAGGAAGAACACCCGUGGCUAAGGCGGUUCUCUAGUACGGUACUGACGCUGAGACGCGAAAGCGUGGGGAGCGAACAGG